AUUGAACGCUGGCGGCAUGCCUUACACAUGCAAGUCGAACGGCAGCACGGGUGCUUGCACCUGGUGGCGAGUGGCGAACGGGUGAGUAAUACAUCGGAACAUGUCCUGUAGUGGGGGAUAGCCCGGCGAAAGCCGGAUUAAUACCGCAUACGAUCUACGGAUGAAAGCGGGGGACCUUCGGGCCUCGCGCUAUAGGGUUGGCCGAUGGCUGAUUAGCUAGUUGGUGGGGUAAAGGCCUACCAAGGCGACGAUCAGUAGCUGGUCUGAGAGGACGACCAGCCAAACUGGGACUGAGAAACGGCCCAAACUCCUACGGGGGGCAGCGGGGGGAAAUUUGGGAAAAGGGGCGAAAGCCUGAUCCAGCAAUGCGGCGUGUGUGAAGAAGGCCUUCGGGUGGUAAAGCACUUUUGUCGGGAAAAAAAUCCUUGGCCCUAAUACGGUCGGGGAUGACGGUACCGGAAGAAUAAGCACCGGCUAACUACGUG
rnacentral:rRNA from 1 species